AACGUAGGUACCGAACGUUAUCCGGAGUUACUGGGCGUAAAGGGCGUGUAGGCGGUUUGUUAAGUCUGGCGUGAAAGCUCUCGGCUAAACCGGGAGAGGUCGUUGGAUACUGGCGAACUAGAAGAUGGUAGAGGCGUGUGGAAUUCCGGGUGUAGUGGUGAAAUGCGUAGAGAUCCGGAGGAACACCAGUGGCGAAGGCGACACGCUGGGCCAUACCUGACGCUAAAGCGCGACAGCAUGGGGAGCAAACGGG
rnacentral:rRNA from 1 species